rnacentral:rRNA from 1 species
CCAGACUCCUACGGGAGGCAGCAGUGGGGAAUAUUGGGCAAUGGAGGAAACUCUUACCCAGCAAUGCCGCGUGAGUGAAGAAGGUCUUCGGAUUGUAAAGCUCUUUGAUUGGGGAUGAAUAAAUGACGGUACCCAAAGAACAAGCCCCGGCUAACUACGUGCCAGCAGCCGCGGUAAUACGUAGGGGGCAAGCGUUAUCCGGAUUUACUGGGUGUAAAGGGAGCGUAGACGGUUAUGCAAGUCUGGAGUGAAAGGCGGGGGCUCAACCCCCGGACUGCUCUGGAAACUGUAGAACUAGAGUGCAGGAGGGGUAAGUGGAAUUCCUAGUGUAGCGGUGAAAUGCGUAGAUAUUAGGAGGAACACCAGUGGCGAAGGCGGCUUACUGGACUGUAACUGACGUUGAGGCUCGAAAGCGUGGGGAGCAAACAGGAUUAGAUACCCCAGUAA